UUUUGCUAUUUAUGUUUUUUCUCAGACAUCACUAAUUAAACGAGUUUUGGUUGGACUCUGGCGGACGCUCGCAGCCGGGGCCACGGCAGGACGAACCUACGAGUCCACCAAAGCAACAAAGGUAAGGUUCGCAUUGGGUUGGAGGUUCGGGGCAAGCCCCUAACUCUUUAAUGAUCCUUCCGCAGGUUCACCUACGGAAA
rnacentral:misc_RNA from 1 species